rnacentral:rRNA from 1 species
GUGGGGAAUUUUGGACAAUGGGCGCAAGCCUGAUCCAGCAAUGCCGCGUGCAGGAAGAAGGCCUUCGGGUUGUAAACUGCUUUUGUACGGAACGAAACGGUCCUGGCUAAUAUCCGGGGCUAAUGACGGUACCGUAAGAAUAAGCACCGGCUAACUACGUGCCAGCAGCCGCGGUAAUACGUAGGGUGCGAGCGUUAAUCGGAAUUACUGGGCGUAAAGCGGGCGCAGGCGGUGCUGUAAGACAGGCGUGAAAUCCCCGGGCUCACCCUGGGAAUUGCGCUUGUGACUGCAGUGCUGGAGUGCGGCAGAGGGGGAUGGAAUUCCGCGUGUAGCAGUGAAAUGCGUAGAUAUGCGGAGGAACACCGAUGGCGAAGGCAAUCCCCUGGGCCUGCACUGACGCUCAUGCACGAAAGCGUGGGGAGCAAACAGGAUUAGAUACCCGAGUAGUCC